CCUACGGGCGGCUGCAGUGGGGAAUAUUGGGCAAUGGGCGCAAGCCUGACCCAGCAACGCCGCGUGAAGGAAGAAGGCUUUCGGGUUGUAAACUUCUUUUCUCAGGGACGAAGCAAGUGACGGUACCGGAGGAAUAAGCCACGGCUAACUACGUGCCAGCAGCCGCGGUAAUACGUAGGUGGCAAGCGUUAUCCGGAUUUACUGGGUGUAAAGGGCGUGUAGGCGGGACUGCAAGUCAGAUGGGAAAACCCUGGGCUCAACCUAUGGCCUGCAUUUGAAACUGUAGUUCUUGAGUACUGGCGAGGCAGCCGGAAUUCCUCGUGUAGCGGUGACAUGCGUAGAUAUUCGGAGGAACACCAGUGGCGAAGGCGGUCUGCUGGACCGCACCUGACGCUGAGGCGCGAAAGCGUGGGGAGCAAACAGGAUUAGAUACCCGUGUAGUC
rnacentral:rRNA from 1 species